UGGUGACCUGGGCUGUGAUUGACUCUGGUAUCAUCACCACACCUACUCUGCUGGAGUACCACGGCAGUGCAUUCCUAGGGGGUGAAGUCACUGCCCUACCAACUGUGCUGCUACCCCUGGCUCCCAGCUCUCCAAAGCACAGCCCAACAAAGGAUGGAAGCACUAGGAAAGGGGGAGCAGGCAGUUCCCUUUGGUGGGAAGUCCCAGUUUCACAGUUCCAGCAGCACCUCGAUGAAGUCAAGGCUUGAAAACCUUCUCCUGCAUGCGCCACAGGUCCUGUGAGGUGGCCUCAGUUAAAAACAACACAAUAAUUCUCAGAAGAAUGUGGCUGAGCCAAAUGCCCAGGAAAGCAGAGCCUGAUAUGAUUCUCUUAAAAAAAAAUGCUGGAGAAGAACAUAAAACCAGACUGAGUUAAAAGAUCUGAAAAAUAAUUCACUGGAAUGCAGUUUUGAUAUUUUGCA